rnacentral:rRNA from 1 species
AUUGAACGCUGGCGGCAUGCUUUACACAUGCAAGUCGAACGGUAACAGGGAGCUUGCUCCGCUGACGAGUGGCGAACGGGUGAGUAAUGCAUCGGAACGUACCGUGUAAUGGGGGAGUAACGUAGCGAAAGUUACGCUAAUACCGCAUACGCCCUGAGGGGGAAAGGUGGGGGACCGGCAAGGCCUCACGUUAUACGAGCGGCCGAUGUCGGAUUAGCUAGUUGGUGGGGUAAAGGCCUACCAAGGCGACGAUCCGUAGCGGGUCUGAGAGGAUGAUCCGCCACACUGGGACUGAGACACGGCCCAGACUCCUACGGGAGGCAGCAGUGGGGGAAUUUUGGACAAUGGGCGCAAGCCUGAUCCAGCCAUGCCGCGUGAGUGAAGAAGGCC